UUGGGUUCAUAUCAACAUACACACAACAAUAAUUGAAAAACGUAGGGCUUAAUUACAAAGAAAAGCUUUAAUUAAGUAAUCAGCUGGUCCCAGGAAGACCUUUGACAUCAUUUCCUCCAGCUGAUCCUCAUCAGGAUGUAGAUAUAGGAGUCUGUGUUUCUCAUUGCCUACUACUUCUCUUGGCACUGUAAACCAUUAUGAUCAGACUCAUAAUUAGUCUGAAUUUCCUGCUUUACUGGACUCCAGGAUGUAUUAAAGCAGUCUGUGGUCUUCAACUCUUACUACUUCCUUUGGCACUUCGAGCCAGUAUGAUCAGUGUUAUAAUAAGUCUGAGUUUUCUGCUUUACCAGACUCCAGUUUUAGCAGGAGAGAAUGUAGUCACCCAAAUCCCCAGUGUCUCCUGGCAUCUGAAAGGAGAAUCUGCUGAAAUAAAGUGCAGUCAUAAUAAAGGUGUUGACUAUAAUCAGAUGUACUGGUACAUACAGCGACAAGGAGAGAGUAUGGAGCUCAUCGUGUACACAACAGCCAGUAGUAAAGAGUUUGGCUCUGUUGAUAAAAAUAAAUUUUUGACUGUUAAAGAAAUUGCCCAAAAUGGAUCUUUAACUGUGAAGAAUCUGGAUACAGGGGACAGCGCUGUAUAUUUCUGUGCAGUUGGAAAGCACAGUGUUACAGAGCUACUGCACUGCUGAACAAAAACACCUGCAGUGAUGUUGCAGCAGUAACAACACACAUUGUUGUAACAUCUAAUAAAUAAAUAUAACAAGCUCUCACACACACUUCAUUUCAGAUGAUUGACUGUUUAAUAAAAGUUAACAGAAUA